UUAAUUUCGUUUAAAAAAUUGUAUCAGACUUCAGUAAUCCGCGUGGGUUUGCAAUGCCGACCCGCGGCCAACAGGCGGUACCCUUCCAAGUUAAUGGCGGGGGGCGCCCGAGAGCCAAGGGCCGAAACGAUGUGAGUUGCUUUCGCGUCUCAUGACAAAGGGCGGGUGAGUGGACACGAGGUCCUAAACCCAGUAAUGAUCCUUCCGCAGGUUCACCUACGGAAA
rnacentral:misc_RNA from 1 species